GGUCACAACGGCUUCCUGGCGUGACCAUUGGAGCA
rnacentral:ncRNA from 1 species